GAUGAACGCUGGCGGCGUGCUUAACACAUGCAAGUCGAACGGAAAGGCCCAAGCUUGCUUGGGUACUCGAGUGGCGAACGGGUGAGUAACACGUGGGUGAUCUGCCCUGCACUUCGGGAUAAGCCUGGGAAACUGGGUCUAAUACCGGAUAGGACCACAUUUUGGAUGGUGUGGUGGAAAGUUUUUCGGUGUGGGAUGAGCUCGCGGCCUAUCAGCUUGUUGGUGGGGUAAUGGCCUACCAAGGCGUCGACGGGUAGCCGGCCUGAGAGGGUGUACGGCCACAGUGGGACUGAGAUACGGCCCAGACUCCUACGGGAGGCAGCAGUGGGGAAUAUUGCACAAUGGGCGCAAGCCUGAUGCAGCGACGCCGCGGGGGGGAUGACGGCCUUCGGGUUGUAAACGCCUUUCGCUAGGGACGAAGCGUUAUGUGACGGUACCUGGAGAAGAAGCACCGGCUAACUACGUG
rnacentral:rRNA from 1 species